rnacentral:rRNA from 1 species
GAUUGAACGCUGGCGGCAGGCCUAACACAUGCAAGUCGAACGGUAACAUUUCUAGCUUGCUAGAAGAUGACGAGUGGCGGACGGGUGAGUAAUACUUAGGAAUAUGCCUUUGUGUGGGGGAUAACUAUUGGAAACGAUAGCUAAUACCGCAUAAUGUCUUCGGACCAAAGGGGGCUUCGGCUCCCGCGCAAAGAGUAGCCUAAGCGAGAUUAGCUUGUUGGUGAGGUAAAGGCUCACCAAGGCGACGAUCUCUAGCUGUUCUGAGAGGAAGAUCAGCCACACUGGAACUGAGACACGGUCCAGACUCCUACGGGAGGCAGCAGUGGGGAAUAUUGCACAAUGGGGGAAACCCUGAUGCAGCCAUGCCGCGUGUGUGAAGAAGGCCUUCGGGUUGUAAAGCACUUUCAGUUGUGAGGAAAGGUUAACGGUUAAUACCCGUUAGCUGUGACGUUAGCAACAGAAGAAGGACCGGCUAACUCCGUGCCAGCAGCCGCGGUAAUACGGAGGGUCCGAGCGUUAAUCGGAAUUACUGGGCGUAAAGCGCACGCAGGCGGUUUGUUAAGCUAGAUGUGAAAGCCCUGGGCUCAACCUGGGAAUUGCAUUUAGAACUGGCAGGCUAGAGUUUUGGAGAGGGGAGUGGAAUUCCAGGUGUAGCGGUGAAAUGCGUAGAUAUCUGGAGGAACAUCAGUGGCGAAGGCGACUCCCUGGUCAGUAACUGACGCUCAUGUGCGAAAGUGUGGGUAGCGAACAGGAUUAGAUACCCUGGUAGUCCACACCGUAAACGCUGUCUACUAGCUGUUUGUGGAUUUAAUCCGUGAGUAGCGAAGCUAACGCGAUAAGUAGACCGCC